rnacentral:rRNA from 1 species
AUUGAACGCUGGCGGCAGGCCUAACACAUGCAAGUCGAACGAGUGGCGGACGGGUGAGUAAUGUCUGGGAAACUGCCUGAUGGAGGGGGAUAACUACUGGAAACGGUAGCUAAUACCGCAUACCAUCAGAUGUGCCCAGAUGGGUUUAGCUUGGUGGUGGGGUAACGGCUCACCAAGGCGACGUUCCCUAGCUGGUCUGAGGGGAUGACAGGCCACACUGGAACUGAGACACGGUCCAGACCCCUACGGUAGGCAGCAGUGGGGAAUAUUGAACAAUGGGCGGAAGCCUGAUGCGGCCAUGCCGCGUGUAUGAAGAAGGCCUGCGGGUUGUAAAGUACUUUCAGCAGGGAGGCGUUACCCGCAGAAGAAGCACCGGCUAACUCCGUGCCAGCAGCCGCGGUAAUAC